rnacentral:rRNA from 1 species
GAUGAACGCUGGCGGCGUGCCUAAUACAUGCAAGUCGAGCGAACAGACGAGGAGCUUGCUCCUCUGACGUUAGCGGCGGACGGGUGAGUAACACGUGGAUAACCUACCUAUAAGACUGGGAUAACUUCGGGAAACCGGAGCUAAUACCGGAUAAUAUAUUGAACCGCAUGGUUCAAUAGUGAAAGACGGUUUUGCUGUCACUUAUAGAUGGAUCCGCGCCGCAUUAGCUAGUUGGUAAGGUAACGGCUUACCAAGGCGACGAUGCGUAGCCGACCUGAGAGGGUGAUCAGCCACACUGGAACUGAGACACGGUCCAGACUCCUACGGGAGGCAGCAGUAGGGAAUCUUCCGCAAAGGGCGAAAGCCUGACGGAGCAACGCCGCGUGAGUGAUGAAGGUCUUCGGAUCGUAAAACUCUGUUAUUAGGGAAGAACAAAUGUGUAAGUAACUAUGCACGUCUUGACGGUACCUAAUCAGAAAGCCACGGCUAACUACGUG